GAUAGAUUAGUAUAAACAAGUAACGAAUGGAUGACUAAGGUGUUAUAAGGGGGGCGAUAGAAGAAAUCUUUGAGAAGAAUUAACAAAGGUGCCCGAAGUUGAAGAAUUCCUUAGGAAUUGAAGCAUCUAAGUACUAAGGGUAAAAAUCAAGCGAAAUUCUGUGAGUAGUGGCGAGCGAAAGUGGAAGAGAGUCAUUUAAGUUUCAAAGAGGGUAAUAGGCCCGUGAAAGGGUGAUGGUUGGAUUGAANGAGUAGAAUUAUUUGAAGAAAGGUGUUCCAUACAUCUAAAUCUAAAAAUUAUAACAUACUGAAAGGGUAGAAGUACUGUGAAGGAAAGUUGAAAAGAUUGAAAUAGAAUCUGAAAUUAGUUACUUACAAGCAGACAAUAUUUGUCGUACCUUUUGAAUAAUGGGUUCGCGAGAUAGGUAUUUGGCAAACUUAAAUUAAUAAAUGUAGGUAUAGUGAAAACGAGUUGUAAUAACUAAGCAUUAGUCAAAUAGGGCCCGAAACCAAGUGAUCUAGCUAUGGGCAGUUUGAAGCUAUCUUAGUUGAAAGUGGAAGAGCGAACCGGUGAUUGUGGCAAAAAUCUCGGAUGACCUGUGGUUAGGGGUGAAAAGCCAAUCGAACUUGGAAAUAGCUGGUUUUCUGCGAAAAUUAUUUAAGUAAUGCCUCAUUAGUAUUAAUUUAUAUAUGGUAAAGUGCUGAAUAGAAGUAUCUAUAAGGUAUUUUUAAUCAAACUAUGAAAGUAUAGGAAUAAAAAUGGGAGACAGAUAGUGGGCGAGAAGGUCCAUUGUCGAAAAGGAAACAACCUAGAUCAGAAGUUAAGGUCAUUAAAGUAGAAUUAAGUGGGAAAGGGGGUUGUUAGGCGAGAUAAUGAGGAAGUAGGCUUGGAGUCAGCCAUCUUUGUAAGAGGGCGUAAUAGCUCAUUCAACAAAUUAAUAAGCCCUAAAAAUUAAGGUGGUUUAAAAAUAUCGAGGGCGGCCAAAACUCUGGAUAUGAAAUGAUGGUAGCAGAACGUUCUGUAAUAAAGGAGGUGUAUUAUUGCGAAAGUGUGUCAGAAGUGAUAAUGCGAACAUGAGUAAAAAAUAGUGUGAGAAUCAUUAUUCACGGCCCAAGGUUUCCAAAAAAAAUAAAAAUAUAUUGGGUUAUGCAGCCCCUAAGACGAGAAAUGUUAGGGGAGAAUGGGGAAGAAAUAAAAAUGAAGGAAUUAUUAAAUUAACGGGCUGUACUAAAACUAACACGAGUGGGCAUAAAGUGAUGGUAGAAUUUAUCUUAAGGAACUCGGCAAAAUCAUCCUGUAAGUUUGCGAGAAAGGGUGCUAAUUAUGGGCUUUAAAGAGUGAUAGGAGAAUAAUUAGUCGCAGAAAAAAGGGGGUAUCGACUGUUUACCAAAAACAUAGCUUUCAAAAAAGCCUUGGGCUUGAAGGAUUGGAGGUGAGGCCUGCCCAAUGAUUGUAUCUAAAUUUAAAUGAUAAAAUAAGUUAUUUAAUUAAAGACAGUUAAAUGGCCGCGGUAACUCUGACCGUGAUAAUGUAGCGUAAUAGAUAGCCAAUUAAUUGUUGGCAAGUAUGAAUGGCGUAACGAAUGCCCUACUGUCUCGAGAUAAAAACCAGUGAAAUUGAACUUGUAGUGAAGAUGCUACAAACAAAUUGUAAGACGAGAAGACCCCGUUGAGCUUUACUGGAGGCUUAAAUUGUUUUUAAAAUUAAAGUGUAGAUUAUGUGGGAAUAAUUGAAAAUUCCACUCUUUAGAUAUAAGAAAACCAAUAAGAAGAAAUUGGGGAGUUUAAGUUGGACAGUUUGGUUGGGGCAACCGCCUUCUAAAGAGUAACGAGGGUGAACAAAAGGUAAAUAAUGAAAUAGCAUAAAGUAAAAGCUUGACAGUAAGGAGGACUUCCAAGCUGACACGGGUAAAAUUAGGGGGAAUUAAUGAAUAUUAGUUAAACUAAUUCUGUGGGUUAUAAUGACCCGUUAGUAAAGAGUGGGUUUGCUAACGAGCAACGAAUAAAAGUUACCACGGGGAUAACAGCGUAAUCUCGUUUGAGAGUUCAUAUCGACGACGAUGUUUGCGACCUCGAUGUUGAAUUGUGAUAUCCUGGAGGUGCAGCUGCUUCCAAGGGUUGGACUGUUCGUCUAUUAAAAUCGUACAUGAUUUGAGUUCAGAUCGGCGUGAGCUAGGUCGGUUUCUAUCUACAAUUUUGUAUUGAAACAUUAGAUAAAACUAUACUUUAGUACGAAAGGAUUGAGUGAUAGAUAUCCGCUGGUGAACCAAUUAUUUAUAAGUAAAAGUAAAUUGUUGGGUAGCUAUGAUAGAAUUAUAAUCUCUGAAGGCAUCUAAAGGGAGAAAGAACAUAUUAUUUUUUGUUUCAUAGAUAUAUAAAAAAAGAGAGGAGUAUUUAAAGAUCGUCUGAGAAUAAGACGCGGAUAGGGUCUAUGUAAAAAUUCUAUUGCAGAAGACUACUAAGGACUAAAUACUAAUUUAUUAG
rnacentral:rRNA from 1 species